AUACGGAGGGUGCGAGCGUUAAUCGGAAUUACUGGGCGUAAAGCGUGCGUAGGUGGUCUGUUAAGUCAGGUGUGAAAGCCCUGGGCUCAACCUAGGAAUUGCAUUUGAUACUGGCAGACUAGAGUGUGGUAGAGGGUAGUGGAAUUCCCGGUGUAGCGGUGAAAUGCGUAGAUAUCGGGAGGAACAUCAGUGGCGAAGGCGGCUACCUGGACCAACACUGACACUGAGGUACGAAAGCGUGGGGAGCAAACAGGAUUAGAAACCCCGGUAGUCC
rnacentral:rRNA from 1 species